CUCCAGGUUUCAGUAGCGUCUCUGAUUGACCUUUCACCUUGUUCUCAUAGGUUGGUUUCCAGUCUUUGGCCUGUUAAAUCCCGGCUCCAGAACUCCCAGGAUUAAUGAACAGGACUUUCAAUAACAUUCUCAAAACCAUGCCUCCAAAGGUCUUUGUGGCUUCUCCUUUGCCUGGGUGAUACAGUCUCUUAGCACGAACUGAGAAGCUGCCUCCCAGGCUCAAGUCCUCAGAAUGUCCGCCAAAUAAAAAACUCUCAGCUUUUGGGUUGUGCAUUUUAUUCCAGUUGACAGCCCACAGGAACUGCAAUUCUUUCAUCAUUUCUAUUUAGCAGUACCUGGAAGUAUAAAGUCCUUCCCCACAGACCAUACCCAUGAGAAAAUGCCAGAGCUGUCCAUUACUGGCAGCCUCUCCCUGCUGACCAGCGAAGAUUGCAGCCAAGAUUGAUCUCAAAGUCCCCAGUCUGUCAAGAGUAGAGUUGAG